CCAGCUGGAGUUUCAGCACUCUGCUCUCGGUGCCAUCUCUGCUUCUCCUCGGAGGCUUUAAGACUCCAAUCAAGCAGCAACUCUAAUCUAUUCUGCCUCUACCUUACAUUUUCCAGAUGAAGCAACUGAAGCCCAGAGAGGUCAGGUAACUUCCUGGAGCCAUGAGACAAUCCAGGCCAGAGAGCCCUCUAUCUCCUCACCAACUGCCUCGCCAGCCAGCACCUGCAGCAGGGGACAGUCUCUGCCAGAGGAAGGGAAGAAGAGAGAUGUCUGGUGAUGGGGGAAAGAAACUGGCCAGAAUCACACUCUUAUGGAAGAGCUGACUAUAUCUAGUAAAUGUUGUAUACCAAAGAACAGAUUAGUAACCUUGUAUAUAUCCUUAUUGUAUCAUCAUUAUUAUUUUUUAAUUACUAUGUUUACACCA